CCUGACUGCUAUCGGAUUGAUACUAAGCCAUGUGAGUCAUUGUAGCAAUACAAGGCAGACGGCUCAGUAACACGUAGCCAACCUACCCUAUGGACGGGGAUAACCUCGGGAAACUGAGGAUAAACCCCGAUAGAUCAUAAUGCCUGGAACGGUUUAUGGUCCAAAUGAUUCGUCGCCGUAGGAUGGGACUGCGGCCUAUCAGCUUGUUGGUGAGGUAAUGGCCCACCAAGGCUAUUACAGGUACGGGCUCUGAGAGGAGAAGCCCGGAGAUGGGUACUGAGACACGGACCCAGGCCCUAUGGGGCGCAGCAGGCGAGAAAACUUUGCAAUGUGCGCAAGCACGACAAGGUUAAUCCGAGUGAUUCCUGCUAAAGGAAUCUUUUGCUAGUCCUAAAAACACUAGCGAAUAAGGGGUGGGCAAGUUCUGGUGUCAGCCGCCGCGGUAAAACCAGCACCUCAAGUGGUCAGGAGGAUUAUUGGGCCUAAAGCAUCCGUAGCCUGCUCUGUAAGUUUCCGGUUAAAUCCAUUAGCUCAACUGAUGGGCCGCCGGAAAAACUGCAAAGCUAGGGAGUGGGAGAGGUAGACGGUACUCGGUAGGAAGGGGUAAAAUCCUUUGAUCUAUUGAUGACCACCUGUGGCGAAGGCGGUCUACCAGAACACGUUCGACGGUGAGGGAUGAAAGCUGGGGGAGCAAACCGGAUUAGAUACCCGGGUAGUCCCAGCUGUAAACGAUGCAGACUCGGUGAUGCCCUGGCUUGUGGCCAGUGCAGUGCCGCAGGGAAGCCGUUAAGUUUGCCGCCUGGGAAGUACGUACGCAAGUAUGAAACUUAAAGGAAUUGGCGGGGGAGCACCACAAGGGGUGAAGCCUGCGGUUC
rnacentral:rRNA from 1 species